rnacentral:tRNA from 1 species
UUGCUGGAGGACUAGUGGUUAGGCUUCAGUGCUCUCACCACUGCGGCCCGGGUUCGAUUCCUGGCUAGGGAA